rnacentral:rRNA from 1 species
GAAGAAAGCGGGGGGCGUGCCUAAUACAUGCAAGUAGAACGCUGAAGAGAGGAGCUUGCUCUUCUUGGAUGAGUUGCGAACGGGUGAGUAACGCGUAGGUAACCUGCCUUGUAGCGGGGGAUAACUAUUGGAAACGAUAGCUAAUACCGCAUAACAAUGGAUGACACAUGUCAUUUAUUUGAAAGGGGCAAUUGCUCCACUACAAGAUGGACCUGCGUUGUAUUAGCUAGUAGGUGAGGUAAUGGCUCACCUAGGCGACGAUACAUAGCCGACCUGAGAGGGUGAUCGGCCAAACUGGGAAUGAGACACGGCCCAGACUCCUACGGGAGGCAGCAGUAGGGAAUCUUCGGCAAUGGGGGCAACCCUGACCGAGCAACGCCGCGUGAGUGAAGAAGGUUUUCGGAUCGUAAAGCUCUGUUGUAAGUCAAGAACGGGUGUGAGAGUGGAAAGUUCACACUGUGACGGUAGCUUACCAGAAAGGGACGGCUAACUACGUG